rnacentral:ncRNA from 1 species
AGGAUCCUCCUCGUUGCUGGUUCGCCCCUGGCGGGGCGAGGAAAGAGGGAACCCGGUGCGAUUCCGGGACUGCCCCGCAGCGGUGAACGGGAACGACCGCCGUCAGAGGCACUGGGGAGACCUGGGAAGCGACGGCCAGUAGGAAGCGCACGAACACGCCCGUGAGUCCGAAGACCUGCCGGUGACGCGUGGAAGGG